GACGAACGCUGGCGGCGUGCUUAACACAUGCAAGUCGAACGGAAAGGCCCUGCUUUUGUGGGGUUCUCGAGUGGCGAACGGGUGAGUAACACGUGAGUAACCUGCCCUUGACUUUGGGAUAACUUCAGGAAACUGGGGCUAAUACCGGAUAGGAUCUCCUGCUGCAUGGUGGGGGUUGGAAAGUUUCGGCGGUUGGGGAUGGACUCGCGGCUUAUCAGCUUGUUGGUGGGGUAGUGGCUUACCAAGGCUUUGACGGGUAGCCGGCCUGAGAGGGUGACCGGCGAAAUUGGGACUGAGAUACGGCCCAGACUCGAACGGGAGGCAGCAGUGGGGAAUAUUGCACAAUGGGCGGAAGCCUGAUGAAGAAACGCGGCGUGCGGGAUGACGGCCUUCGGGUGGUAAACGGCUUUCGCAUGUGACGAAGCGUGAGUGACGGUAAUGGGUAAAGAAGCACCGGCUAACUACGUG
rnacentral:rRNA from 1 species